UAUAAGGGCAAGCAACUUAAAAAGUUGGAAGUAAAGCAGAAGGCAUGUGCACAAGUGCUGGUAGCAAAGCAUAAACAAAAAAGAAGAGAAGAGCAUAGAAGGUUAUUCCAAACACAUAUAUGUUGCCAAAGGAGUGAUAUAGCAGGAUUGGUUCUGGUCCUACGUGAGAUUCCUGUCUAACUAGAAGGGAACCCUCUACUUUAGCCACUCUGCUUUUGCAUAAUUGCAUGUGUCUUUGCCCGUGACUGUUGUAAGCAUUACCCAGGACGUUGCUUUUUUUCCAUCAUGCAUGCAAUUCAUUCAGCAGUUUAACAUGUUAAUGCCUUUCAAUUUGUCUUUUCUUUUUUUUUUUUUUUUUCUCUGGGUCGAAUAAAGUUUCGUGCUUUCCCUUUUAAUAAUUUCAUUUUGGAGUUUAUCAGUUCUUGCAUGGAGUAUCAACAGACAAAAUUUGAAAGCACCCGUGUAUACUACGCAAGACAAUAGGUUACAUACUUUGGUACAGACGACAAACAAUUCUGAUUCAAAAAUUUUCGUUACAACCAAAGUUCAUAAGAAAUAGACAGAUUACUGAACACUUUAUCACAGUUGUUUGUUGCUCUAACAUUUAAUUAUCAUAUGGUUUACACAGUGGACCACAACGAAGAUGGUAGUGGUAAAAAAUGAUUUUACAACAGUUUAUUCUGCAGAAGUUGAUUCAAUGGAAAAAAAAGGACAUAAGAAAAUUAAAUAAAUAUGUUCCAUAUGAGUAGCUCCCUUUCAAUAUUUCAAUUCUAGGUUGUAUUCUUACAUCAUGUAUACCAUACCAAAAGAGAAAGGAAAAAGAAACACUUUGUGUAAAGGGAAAAGGACAAGAGAGGGAAAUAUCUUGUUCUUUAAAGAAACUGAAUGGUGAGGGAAUAGGAAUCUUAAGGGGAUCCAAGCACUUGGAGACAAGUUAGUUUCUCAAGAUAAAAAUGACUUGCCCUUUAUGCAAUGGAAAAAGAAGUUGAAUCCUGAGCCAUGCCUAGAGCCAUCUCAGCCAACAGUAAACAUGACAAGACCCUCAUAGUCCCUCUUCAAUCACUUUUUUAUAUAUAUAUAUAUGUGUGUGUGAGUGUAUUAUAUAUGUAACACUAUUCUCUUCAAUGAGUUUGUAACUCUUAGGGAGUUUGAAAAAGUAAAGUGGGGAACAGAAAAAGAGAGAGACAAGGUAGGUUCAGGUAGAAUUAUUUACAAAGCAAACUUUGCUUCAUGCCAAAUUUCUAGCUUCUUAGUUGUUUCCCAAGUUAAAACAGUAGCCAGAAGGGUUUUAGGGGUGUUUUUGUCAUUUGGAAGACAUAGAAGGCCUUGUCUUUGUGUAUAUAUAUAUAACAUGCUGUUCAAUUGCUUCUACCUCAUAUACAUACCUUCUUCCAUGUUACUGAGAAAAACAUGGCUAAGUUUGCAUUUGGUUUUAUAUGUUACUGUUAACAUGCUUGGCGUGCCUGGCUCCCUGUAUGCCAUUUGCAGAGCCCAUCAGAACAGUGAUGGCUUUAACUAAUGGCGUGCGAGGAGUCAUGCAUGUUGUUAGUUAUUAGUUAAAACAAAAACUGAUGUAGUUUGGUUUCAUACUUUCUGUGAAACUCAGUUCAUGAUGUCUCUUUUGUUUUCCUAAUGUUUCUUUCUACCUCUUCUGUCGGAAUGAAUGAUGUUAGAAGAGGUUUGAAAAUAAGGUCUCAUAUUAAUUUCCUCUCAUGUCUGAUAAAUGAUAUAUCUACUGAUCAUGCUUGAUUGUGUUAGGUUUAAUCCAUGGCCUACCUGGUUCAAAGUAUCAUCUAGAGAGGUAAGUGAAGGAAAUAAAAUAAUUAAAGAAUCAUUGUUUCUUUUGAUAUUUGCUUUCUCUUCUUAUCGGUAUUACAUUGAGAUCUUUUGUCCUUCAAAGAUCAUUGUCAUCUUGAAUUUGAUGCAUGCACCAAUCCUUUUCAUUGUUGUGUUGUCAUUUUUUUUGUCUGUGAUUGACUAGUUAACAUCUUGGCUUCAUUUGCAUUUGUUUCUAUUCAGUACAUUUCAACCCAAAUCAUGCACCAGGUUUUGAGAUAUUCUCUAUUUCACUAGUUUGAAUUCGUUGACAGAAAGAAAACAGUGACAUCAUUAACUGUAAAUUUUGAUGAUAUAACAUAGAACAAAUAUAUUAUGUCUUGUAGUUAGUAGAUUUUUUCCUUAAUUGUUUUCUGUCUCUUUCAUGUUUCUAUUACCCUUUUAGUGACACAGGUAUACUCUCUUGAAAAUUGGGGUUACGUCAUUGUUCGUGGAGCCUAUGUUAGCGAUGCUUGUCAGAUUGAUUAGUAUUGUUGCAAAAGCUUGGUGCAGAACACUUUCUUCAUUCAACUCAAGCAUUUGUGAAGAUGGUUUUAUUUAAGUACCACUACCUAUGUGUUUUCAUUUUUUCACUUUGAUGCAAAUGAAGACUUGUAUAGUCACAGAUUCUUGUUUUUCUGGUUUCUUUUCAUCCAAUUUGUACCUACUGAUCAGAAAACUUUCACAAGAUUUUGUUACACAAUAUUUAAUAUCAAUUAUUGCUUUCAGUAAUGA